AGGUUCGUCUGAUAUCUAAGGGACAUCCAGAGCCACCAGAAAAGGAACUUUCCAGUAGUGGUUCCCCAGCUGGAAACAGUUUCUCCCUUAUCAGAUAACGAGAUUGUCAUUGCUUCUCCACCAGACGUUAGAGCCAGAAAGAGGCUAAUAUUUGACAACUUGACAACGGAAAAAUUAAGCAGCCCAUUUACCAGCCUUGACAACUGGCAAGAUCAGAUUGGUCUCUUCCACAACAGCUGAUCGGCUCAUUGCUAUGGGAACCAGCAGGAAACAAAGUACCACACAACAGGAGCUGCUGCUCAGAGUGCAGGUCACCUGGAGAAGCUGAUGAAACAGAUCCUCUGGCCUGUCUUCUUACAACAGAAAUUUAGGACUGAGAAAGGAGCCAAGGAGUCCUUUUGGAAUUUAACAGAUAGAAAUUUGGGGGUAAACAUCCUUUGCGUCUUUGGGACACAUCCACAACCUUAUGAAGUAUGAAAGCAGGAAUCUUCCCACAAGCUCUUCAUAUACAGGAGUUACAUUGGCUGCCCAUGGGAAUGGAGCCUGGAGGCUUUACAAAGGCACAAGUGAAUUGCUGGAAAGCUGGAGAUUCCCUUCUUCCCACUGGUGCUAGAUGCUUCUUCCUUUUUGUGUUUGCUAAAUAGGCUUUAUUUAAUAACUAACCUCUACAAUAAUGAGAUGGAAAUACUUGCUAAACCAGUAAUUGGAAUGCCAGGAAGAGAGAGACAGAUUGGAAGGAAAUGAAAUCCUACAACCAUGGCAUGUAUUUUGAACUAAUGACUGUAUUAUUCAAUCAUAUUAAGAAUGGGAUACCUCAUUUUUAAUCAAUGCUAGAACAUCGUAUUAUGACCUUUACAGAUGAGAAGCUAACAGUGCAUACAUCACAGUUGUGAUAGCCUUGCUGUAAGUGUGUAGAAGUUGGACUAGAUACCAAAACUAAUUUUUAAGACCCCACAGCAAAAGGGUUUCUAAAUCACACCUCUGAUGUUAGAAGCUGAUCGCAGAUACAGCGAACAAGGCUGCAAGUAGCACCUUAAUCCUCCAUGAGCUUGCUUUCCAAAAAUAUUGUUUUGUGCUGUCCAGAGUCACCUUCUGCGAGACAGGCUGCUAUAUACAUUUAAUUAAUUAAUUGUUAUCAGA